rnacentral:lncRNA from 1 species
GUUUUCGCUUUCGCUUUUGCUUUUAAUAGCUUCUCCGAAGAGAAACAAAGCGGCGGCCACGACGGUCGACUGUCACGACGGGUGAUGGGCUCGGAGGUGAGGGGAGAGGAGAGCGGCCGCCUGAACCCCGGGCCCACAAGAGAGGUGGCAGCAUGCCCCGGGCCUCCUUGUGAUGUCAGGAGGCUGGACAGCCAAGAAAGAAGAAAAUGGACUCCCUCCUUCUGAAGACUUGCCUGGAAGCCAGCCCCGAGUGCUGGAGUGCACAGCGCCUCCAACGAGAACAGCUAAGAGAGGCAGGAAGCCCAAGAUCAGAUAGCCCUACCUCAUAUGGCUCUCAUGCAGUAACAUGAACAAGGUGGCAGUCAGCAGGACAGGGCUCGCUGAGGAUUCCACAGAGCCAGUGAUCUCAGAGUGACAGACCUUGUUCUAGACCCAGCAGCACUUCCAUGGGAAAAUGCCUGGCGUCAGGCCCACAGGAUGGCCUUCCUGCUCCACCACCCAAAGGCCUUCCCUUGCUAGCGUCUCCAGAGCUCCUCCAUGGUGCUCCAAAGUCAAGGAAGGCCUUGAUCAGUUUAGUUCUAGACCAAAAGCUUACUAAAAUGUCUCUCCUCCCUGCCCCCACUAUGGUUCCCUGCUGAAUCUCAGUCUAAUUGAC